rnacentral:rRNA from 1 species
GUUUGAUCAUGGCUCAGAUUGAACGCUGGCGGAACGCUUUACACAUGCAAGUCGAACGGUAACGCGGAGAGAAGCUUGCUUCUCUCCGGCGACGAGUGGCGAACGGGUGAGUAAUACAUCGGAACGUGUCCGCUCGUGGGGGACAACCAGCCGAAAGGUUGGCUAAUACCGCAUGAGUUCUACGGAAGAAAGAGGGGGACCCGCAAGGGCCUCUCGCGAGCGGAGCGGCCGAUGACUGAUUAGCCGGUUGGUGAGGUAACGGCUCACCAAAGCAACGAUCAGUAGCUGGUCUGAGAGGACGACCAGCCACACUGGGACUGAGACACGGCCCAGACUCCUACGGGAGGCAGCAGUGGGGAAUUUUGGACAAUGGGCGCAAGCCUGAUCCAGCUAUUCCGCGUGUGGGAUGAAGGCCCUCGGGUUGUAAACCACUUUUGUAGAGAACGAAAAGACACCUUCGAAUAAAGGGUGUUGCUGACGGUACUCUAAGAAUAAGCACCGGCUAACUACGUGCCAGCAGCCGCGGUAAUACGUAGGGUGCGAGCGUUAAUCGGAAUUACUGGGCGUAAAGGGUGCGCAGGCGGUUGAGUAAGACAGAUGUGAAAUCCCCGAGCUUAACUCGGGAAUGGCAUAUGUGACUGCUCGACUAGAG